UACGUAGGGUGCGAGCGUUGCCCGGAUUUAUUGGGCGUAAAGGGCGCGUAGGCGGCUCUGCACGUCCGUUGUGAAAUCGCCCGGCUCAACUGGGCGGGGUCAGCGGAUACGGCGGAGCUUGAGCAAGCUAGGGGGCAAUGGAAUUCCCGGUGUAGUGGUGGAAUGCGUAGAUAUCGGGAGGAACACCUGUGGCGAAAGCGGCUCACUGGACCAUAACUGACGCUGAUGCACGAAAGCUGGGGGAGCAAACAGG
rnacentral:rRNA from 1 species